GACGAACGCUGGCGGCGUGCUUAGCACAUGCAAGUCGAACGGAAAGGCCCUGCUUUUGUGGGGUGCUCGAGUGGCGAACGGGUGAGUAACACGUGAGUAACCUGCCCUUGACUUUGGGAUAACUUCAGGAAACUGGGGCUAAUACCGGAUAGGAGCUCCUGCUGCAUGGUGGGGGUUGGAAAGUUUCGGCGGUUGGGGAUGGAUUCGCGGCUUAUCAGCUUGUUGGUGGGGUAGUGGCUUACCAAGGCUUUGACGGGUAGCCGGCCUGAGAGGGUGACCGGCCACAUUGGGACUGAGAUACGGCCCAGACUCCUACGGGAGGCAGCAGUGGGGAAUAUUGCACAAUGGGCGGAAGCCUGAUGCAGCAACGCCGCGUGCGGGAUGACGGCCUUCGGGUUGUAAACCGCUUUCGCCUGUGACGAAGCGUGAGUGACGGUAAUGGGUAAAGAAGCACCGGCUAACUACGUG
rnacentral:rRNA from 1 species